rnacentral:rRNA from 1 species
AACGAACGCUGGCGGCAGGCCUAACACAUGCAAGUCGAACGCUGUAGCAAUACAGAGUGGCAGACGGGUGAGUAACGCGUGGGAACCUUCCCAGUGGUGCGGAAUAGCUCAGGGAAACUUGAGGUAAUACCGCAUAAGCCCCUAGGGGGAAAGAUUUAUCGCCAUUGGAUGGGCCCGCGUCGGAUUAGCUAGUUGGUGAGGUAAUGGCUCACCAAGGCAACGAUCCGUAGCUGGUUUGAGAGAAUGACCAGCCACACUGGGACUGAGACACGGCCCAGACUCCUACGGGAGGCAGCAGUGGGGAGUCUUGGACAAGGGGCGCAAGCCUGAUCCAGCCAUGCCGCGUGAGUGACGAAGGCCUUAGGGUUGUAAAGCUCUUUUGCCGGGGACGAUAAUGACGGUACCCGGAGAAUAAGUCCCGGCUAACUUCGUGCCAGCAGCCGCGGUAACAC